UGGUGAUAUUAAUUUUCUUUUGCUGUGAUU
rnacentral:piRNA from 1 species